rnacentral:lncRNA from 1 species
AGAACUGAGAAUGAAAUUGAAGCAGUAAUAAUAUACUACUAGUAAUCAGUAGCGGAAGAACACUCAGAUGAGAGUAUCUACAAGCACACACCCACACAAAAUGAACACAGAUCAAGCACUAGCUAGUACUAGUAGCGGCAGAUCUGGAGCAAAAUGAGACACGAAUAAUAAUAAUAAUAAUAAUAACCAACAAAUUUCGCUAGCUAGCGAUGGCAGUAAUAAUAACAAUAAUAAUAAUGGUGAUAAAUAGAAAAAUAGUAGAUCUAGGCGAAGGCGGCACUAGCCGGAUCUCCCAUCGACGGAGAGACGGGACGGGGCUCAGUGGCGGAUGGCGGCGAAGAGGAAGGCGGCGGCGGAGGCGACGAGCGCCGCGGCGAGGGGCGUCGCGGCCGCGCAGGCGGCGGAGAUGGCGGCGACCGCCAGGACGGCGAGGAUGGCGAGGGCCUUAGAUCCGGCGGCGGCCAUCACUUCGAUUCGGUGGCUGGUCGUCGGCGGCGGCGGAGAGAAGGUUCUAGAAGGCGGAGGAAUAAUGGGGAGAGAGAGAGAGGAUGUUUUGCUUGUGCUCGUGUGGAGGUGGGGGAAAGGCGUCGGGUGCGAGGCUUUUGCUCAAUGA